AGGUAGCUGAAGUUACAGGGCAGGAUGUUGUUUGUACCAUUAAAAAUUCAGCAACAUUAGCUGGGGCAUUCUUUACCUUGCAUGCAUCUCAAAUUCAUAUUGAUUUUCCUACCCUCACUGAGAAAGACAAGGAGGUUAUAAGCACUUGGGGAGUAAAAAACAAAAUUGAUUUUCUAUCAUUGUCAUAUACUAGGCAUGCUGAAGAUGUUUGUCAGGCACAUGAAUUCCUUUCUACAUUAGGUGAUUUCAGCCAAACUCAAA